rnacentral:tRNA from 1 species
GCGCCCGUAGCUCAGCUGGAUAGAGCAUUGGUUUCCGAAGCCAAGGGUCACAGGUUCAAGUCCUGUCGGGCGCACCA